rnacentral:rRNA from 1 species
AACGAACGCUGGCGGCGUGCCUAACACAUGCAAGUCGCGCGAGAACGGGGGGCAACUCCCUAGUAAAGCGGCGCACGGGUGAGUAACACGUAGGUAACCUACCCUCGAGUCCAGGAUAACCUACCGAAAGGUGGGCUAAUACCGGAUAUGACCACGGGAGCCUCGGCUCCUGCGGUGAAAGGUGGCCUCUGCUUGCAAGCCACUGCUCGGAGAUGGGCCUGCGCGCCAUUAGCAGUUGGUGGGGUAACGGCCCACCAAGGCGAUGAUGGCUAGCUGGUCUGAGAGGAUGGCCAGCCACACUGGGACUGAAACACGGCCCAGACUCCUACGGGAGGCAGCAGUGGGGGAUAUUGCGCAAUGGGCGAAAGCCUGACGCAGCGACGCCGCGUGGGUGAUGAAGGCCU